rnacentral:rRNA from 1 species
AGAGUUUGAUCCUGGCUCAGGACGAACGCUGGCGGCGUGCUUAACACAUGCAAGUCGAACGGUAAGGCCCCUUCGGGGGUACACGAGUGGCGAACGGGUGAGUAACACGUGAGCAACCUGCCCUUGACUCUGGGAUAACAGUUGGAAACAGCUGCUAAUACCGGAUACGACCCUAGAUGACAUCAUCUGGGGUGGAAAGCGCUUUAGCGGUCAAGGAUGGGCUCGCGGCCUAUCAGCUUGUUGGUGAGGUAACGGCUCACCAAGGCGACGACGGGUAGCCGGCCUGAGAGGGUGUCCGGCCACACUGGGACUGAGAUACGGCCCAGACUCCUACGGGAGGCAGCAGUGGGGAAUAUUGCACAAUGGGCGCAAGCCUGAUGCAGCGACGCCGCGUGAGGGAUGACGGCCUUCGGGUUGUAAACCCCUUUCAGGAGGGACGAAGGUUGGGCAGUUAAUAGCUGACCUGACUGACGGUACCUCCAGAAGAAGCCCCGGCUAACUACGUGCCAGCAGCGGCGGUAAUAC